CUCGAUAAGUCUCCACAAUCGUGCCAAAAAUUAAUUGAGUUAAGUGAGAGAUGGAUUUCUUGAGUUGCAUGCUAAUGUGUCUUAUGGUUGCCUGGAUCUCAAUCCAUGCCCUCUAUUAUUCAUUUGCAAGAACAAGUCCCAAUAAGCUUCCGCCCGGACCAAAGCCACUUCCUUUCAUUGGAAAUCUUCUAGAGCUUGGAAACAAACCCCACCUCUCCCUAACCAAGCUUUCACAGCGCUAUGGCCCCAUUAUGACUUUACAUCUUGGCCAAAUCACAACUGUUGUAGUUUCUUCAUCCGCCAUAGCUAAACAAGUCCUGCAAACCCAUGACCAAUUGUUUUGCAACCGAACAGUAUUAGAUUCAGUCCAAGCCUGUAAACAUGGCGAGAACGGCAUGCCCUGGAUACCUGUUUCAGCUAAGUGGAGAAACCUUCGCAAAAUAUGCAACUCCCAAUUGUUCGCCACCAAAGUUCUCGACGCCAGCCAAGCCAACCGUCACCUAAAAGUGCAAGAGCUCAUAGCUGAUGUCCAUGAAAGCGUUGUAAAAGGUGAUGCAGUGGAGAUUGGAAGCGCUGCUUUCAAAACUACGCUCAAUUUGAUGUCGCGGACUGUCUUCUCUGUGGGGACCAGAAUAGUGAGAGGGCUAGAGAGUUCAAGAAGCUGGUGCGGAGUAUUAUGGAAGAGAUUUCGAAACCAAACUUGGCUGACUAUUUUCCAGUGCUUAAAAAGAUUGACCCCGUGGGGAUACGGCGCCGUUUGACUCGUCACUUCCUGAAGAUGUUUGACCUCUUCGAUCGCUUGAUCAUCCAAAGAAUGGAAUCAAGAAAAGCACCUGACUAUAUCAUGACCAGUGACAUGUUAGAUACCCUUAUAAACAGUAGUGAAGAGAAAAAUGAGGACAUGGACAUGGUUGAAACUCAACAUUUGUUCCUGGAUCUAUUUGCUGCUGCCACAGACACAACUUCAGCCACAUUAGAAUGGGCAAUGGCUGAGCUACUACGCAACCCCGAAAGUCUGUCAAAAGCUCAACAGGAGCUGAAGCACAUCAUUGGCAAAGGAAAACCAGUGGAGGAAUCAGACAUCACUCGGCUCCCUUACUUACAAGCCAUAAUCAAAGAGACCUUCCGCUUGCACCCAGCAGCUCCAUUGCUAAUUCCUCGCAAAGCUGGAGCAGAUGUAGAAAUCUGCGGGUACAUUGUACCAAAGGGUGCACAAGUUUUGGUCAAUGCAUGGGCCAUAGGCAGAGACCCCAGCAUCUGGGACAACCCAAACUCCUUUAUGCCAGAGAGGUUCUUGGGAUUGGACAUGGAUGUUACAGGGAGGAACUUUGAGCUUAUCCCGUUUGGUGGUGGACGGAGAAUUUGUCCUGGGUUACCAUUGGCAAUGAGAAUGCUGAACUUGAUGUUGGGGUCACUUCUUAACUGCUUUGAUAACUGGAAGCUUGAAGAUGGGGUUGCACCAGAGACCAUGAACAUGGAAGACAAGUUUGGCCUCACUUUAGAGAAGGCUCAGCCUCUAAUAGCUGUGCCCGUGACAUAGGAGAUCCUAGCUAGCUAUUGGUGUUUACGUACAUUGAUAAAAACCGUAAAAACUAUGCACUGUAUCCUCCUACUUAUUAAGUUUGAAACUCAAUAAUGAUCAAUUGUUGUGAAACUGUUACUGUCACCCAUUGGUUUAACUAUGAUUACUUACUGUUACCCAUUGGUUUAAUAAA